rnacentral:rRNA from 1 species
GUGACCUCAAAUCAGGUAGGACUACCCGCUGAACUUAAGCAUAUCAAUAAGCGGAGGAAAAGAAACUAACAAGGAUUCCCCUAGUAACUGCGAGUGAAGCGGGAAAAGCUCAAAUUUAAAAUCUGGCAGUCUUUUGGCUGUCCGAGUUGUAAUCUAGAGAAGUGUUAUCCGCGCUGGACCGUGUACAAGUCUCCUGGAAUGGAGCAUCAUAGAGGGUGAGAAUCCCGUCUUUGACAUGGACUACCAGGGCUUUGUGAUGCGCUCUCAAAGAGUCGAGUUGUUUGGGAAUGCAGCUCAAAAUGGGUGGUAAAUUCCAUCUAAAGCUAAAUAUUGGCGAGAGACCGAUAGCGAACAAGUACCGUGAGGGAAAGAUGAAAAGAACUUUGGAAAGAGAGUUAAACAGUACGUGAAAUUGCUGAAAGGGAAACGCUUGAAGUCAGUCGCGUCGUCCAGGGAUCAACCUUGCUUUUGCUUGGUGCACUUUCUGGUUUGACGGGUCAGCAUCAAUUUUGACUAUUGGAAAAAGUCUAAGGGAAUGUGGCAUCCUUGGAUGUGUUAUAGCCCUUGGUCACAUACAAUGGUUGGGAUUGAGGAACUCAGCACGCCGCAAGGCCGGGUUUAAACCACGUACGUGCUAGGA